UUGAACGCUAGCGGGAUGCUUUACACAUGCAAGUCGAACGGCAGCGCGGACUUCGGUCUGGCGGCGAGUGCGAACGGGUGAGUAAUGUAUCGGAACGUGCCCAGUAGCGGGGGAUAACUACGCGAAAGCGUAGCUAAUACCGCAUACGCCCUACGGGGGAAAGCAGGGGAUCGUAAGACCUUGCACUAUUGGAGCGGCCGAUAUCGGAUUAGCUAGUUGGUGAGGUAACGGCUCACCAAGGCGACGAUCCGUAGCUGGUUUGAGAGGACGACCAGCCACACUGGGACUGAGACACGGCCCAGACUCCUACGGGAGGCAGCAGUGGGGAAUUUUGGACAAUGGGGGCAACCCUGAUCCAGCCAUCCCGCGUGUGCGAUGAAGGCCUUCGGGUUGUAAAGCACUUUUGGCAGGAAAGAAACGUCGCGGGCUAAUACCCCGUGGAACUGACGGUACCUGCAGAAUAAGCACCGGCUAACUACGUG
rnacentral:rRNA from 1 species